CGCGAGCUGGGUUCAGAACGGCGUGAGACAGUUCGGUCCCUAUCCGUCGCGGGCGUUGGAAAUUUGAGAGGAGCUGUCCUUAGUACGAGAGGACCGGGAUGGACUUACCGCUGGUGUACCAGUUGUUCUGCCAAGGGCAUUGCUGGGUAGCUAUGUAGGGAAGGGAUAAACGCUGAAAGCAUCUAAGUGUGAAGCCCACCUCAAGAUGAGAUUUCCCAUUUCUUUAAGAAAGUAAGAUUCCUGAGAGAUGAUCAGGUAGAUAGGUCAGGAGUGGAAGUACAGUGAUGUAUGGAGCGGACUGAUACUAAUCGAUCGAGGACUUAACCAAU
rnacentral:rRNA from 1 species